AGCGGCGGACGGGUGAGUAACACGUGGGUAACCUGCCCAAGAGACUGGGAUAACACCUGGAAACAGAUGCUAAUACCGAAUAACAACACUAGACGCAUGUCUAGAGUUUGAAAGAUGGUUCUGCUAUCACUCUUGGAUGGACCUGCGGUGCAUUAGCUAGUUGGUAAGGUAACGGCUUACCAAGGCAAUGAUGCAUAGCCGAGUUGAGAGACUGAUCGGCCACAUUGGGACUGAGACACGGCCCAAACUCCUACGGGAGGCAGCAGUAGGGAAUCUUCCACAAUGGACGAAAGUCUGAUGGAGCAACGCCGCGUAAGUGAAGAAGGGUUUCGGCUCGUAAAGCUCUGUUGGUAGUGAAGAAAGAUAGAGGUAGUAACUGGCCUUUAUUUGACGGUAAUUACUUAGAAAGUCACGGCUAACUACGUGCCAGCAGCCGCGGUAAUACGUAGGUGGCAAGCGUUGUCCGGAUUUAUUGGGCGUAAAGCGAGUGCAGGCGGUUCAAUAAGUCUGAUGUGAAAGCCUUCGGCUCAACCGGAGAAUUGCAUCAGAAACUGUUGAACUUGAGUGCAGAAGAGGAGAGUGGAACUCCAUGUGUAGCGGUGGAAUGCGUAGAUAUAUGGAAGAACACCAGCGGCGAAGGCGGCUCUCUGGUCUGCAACUGACGCUGAGGCUCGAAAGCAUGGGUAGCGAACAGGAUUAGAUACCCUGGUAGUCCAUGCCGUAAACGAUGAGUGCUAAGUGU
rnacentral:rRNA from 1 species